AGGUUGAGAGUAUAUAAUGUGGAUAGAAUAGUAAAACAAGAUUAACAGAAUUAUAUAAUGUGGAUAGUUCAAGACUCAAGAAGUGUUGAGAAAAUCAUGUUCUUGCACAAGAAUGAUAAAACAGAAAACAUAGUAUACAAAGAAAAAGGAGACAAAUCUGAAUAGUUCAACAAAUAUACGCAACUGUUAACUUCUUUCAACUCAUGAUCUUGUAAUCUGUGUGAUAUCCUAACAUGUCAUGUACACAGCUUCCAUCAUCUCUGGGUCUUCAGGAUAUACCCUCACUACAUGUCUUCUGGUAAGGAUCAGUGUCUGGCAACUUGGCAAGGCUGGUACCAUUCGUAUAUUUUACGAUGAUUCGGCUCCUCGGUACUUAAUUCAUAUAACUGGCCUAAACUGUACCACCCUUCCGAUCUCCACGUCUACCUAGGAUAUCCACAAGGACAGCAGAAAUUAAUUAGCUUUCACUAAAUAUAGCAUUUUACUUAAAUUCAUUAAAAGAAAGAAGCCCAAAAUAUAACAACAUACACAAAAUGUUUUGUGUUUUAUUAAAAGCCAUCUGAACGAUCAAAUGGUAGACGGUGAAAACAAAGCAGAAAGCACAUGAUGUUAUUAAAGAAAAAAGUCAGGUAAAAGAUAAAACAUUUGCCAAAGUCUUCAAAGACGGAUCUGAUCCACGAACAUAGAAGUCAUGUACUCCUUAAUUUUUCCUUGGGGAUCGGUGUAACCUUCAUAUCCAUUGUAGCAGACGUGGAUCAUGCGUGCAAGAUCAAUGACUGCCUUAAGAACACAGUGUCGCACACCAGUUUUUGUCAAGAACUCUUCAUUUAUUAUCUUAUCAGCCUCUCCAACCAUUUUAUUAAGCUCCCUAAAAGCUUCAUUUUGGGAAACUCCAUAUUGCUUCAUAUAACAGCUGACAGCAUUGGUGACGUAUCCUCUACUAAUGUCAUCCUAAUUAAAAUAGUGUAUGUGUAAAUCGGGAUGCUAGAUAGAACAAGAAAGUAUACAUAUCCAAUAUGUGAAGAAAUGGUUUACGCAUAUGUACCUGGAAACCAGUUAUAUCAUCCAUAAGACGACCUUUGACACAUAAAGAUUGGACGAGUUUUGGUCUGGACUUUAGCCAUUCAAAAGCUUCUUUUGCAGCCAUCUUUCCCAUAGACAUGUAUCGACUUGCCAAAGUCGCAUACACUGCGACUUCCACCUCACUAACCUCCAUGUACUCCUCAAAGCUAGGCACGUGAUAAACUAGGCCCCACUUUGCGAGAUCAAAGUUGGCUUUCACAUGUGUCUUGAACUGCAUGCUCAAUAAUAUAAGAUCUGCGUUACGUUACAACACUAAAUGUAGUUUUCUAAAGUUAUUUUGAAAUAAUGAUAUACCCAUGACCUUUCUUUUCCUUGAAAUAUAAUCCUGCGAGUUCAGUUGAAAGUUAUUCCAAAGUCAUAUGACAGUAUAUUGAUAUACUACUAAUAAUAAAAAGAUGAGCCCUUUGUCUUGGGGAGAUAGUGAUGCAAGUUGGCAACCAAAGGCAAUAACUAAUGUUCUGGAAAAACAAAUGUACGAGGAAUAUUUGGUGUGUGUGGUGUUUGUGGCUUAACUUAAUUACUGAUCUCCGAAAGGAUAUUUGAGUAUUCGAGAAAAAAAGGAGAGACAAAAUGAAUAAAUGAAUAAAUGAAAAAUGUGAAUUUGUAUUUCCUUAAGCUUUUAUGAAAAACGUGAUUUUUCCCAUAACAAGUUAAAUAAUAUUCCCAUCUUAUCAAUUUCUACAUGGAUGUAAUUUAUUAAAUGAAAGAUAUAUUUUAUUUUAAAUUCUAGAGUUAGACUUAAAUUUUGUAAAAUUAUAUAUCCACAUAUAUCUCCUACAAAUAAUGUUUUAUGUAACAUUUAAAUUAAGGAUAAAACUGGAAUCAUGAAAAUUGUUGAUACUAUAUAUUUUUAAGAAUAACAUGUCACAUCACAGUAUUUUUCAAAAUUGUUUUUAAUUGACAAAUUAGCAUUAUUAUUAAGGAAAAAUAAUUAGUCAGAUUAGUUUAGUUUCUUAAGCGUAUUACCCUUGAUUGUUAUAUGCAUGCUUAUGUCCACGACUUAAUCAUACCAAUAAAGAAGAUAGUUUGAUUGAUUUACCACUUCCUUUGAGGCGUUCACGUUGUAUGAUCUUCCUUGUGGCCCAAGUUCUCUUUCAAACUCUUCGAAAGUAUCUAUCAUAAAGUUCAACACGAAUUUCAAAUAAUCAGGCUGUUUAUCCAUGGUAUGCUCGUGAGCCCACCUGUACAACAUCUUCAGCAUCAUCAUCAUCAUCAUCAUCAUCAUCACUAUAAUCAUUGUUUACUUAAUUUUUUGAUAGCCUUCAGCUUCCGGAAGAGAUGCAUAUCUGUCAAAUGUGUCAUCUAGAAUCACUAAAAUUGUGAAGUACUUAACCAUUAUAAUCCUUGCACGUGAUAAUUGUGGCUCAAAGCACAUCGCUUGUACAAAGAAAUGAUUUUCGACGAUUCUGUGUCUGAAGUAAGGUGGUAGCUUGGAUUCAAACUCUAGAUCAUUGUACCAUCUUGCAUCCAAAGUUAUAGGUAUUUGAUUAGAAUAGUUUCUGUAAAGAAUUUUAAUUCAAGUCCAUAUAAAUACCAUUAAUGUGAAGAUAUGUUACAUACUCUGCAAGGAUUUUGAGUUCGUGAAGGUAUUGGAGCUGUACUAACUUGAAACUGAUUUUAGCGAAUUUGAGUAGCAUCUCGUCAUGAUCUUUUUCUUGUUCAAAGAAUGAGAUAUAUUCCACUGGGAAUAACAUCUCCAUAUUCCAGUGCUGAGGUAGAGUACGUAAGAGCAUUUCGAAUACGUACUGAGAGAUGAGGAGGGCACGUUCCAUCAGCAGCCAGUGACUCCAAGUGUCUCGAUGUAAAUAUCAAUGCUUCGUCCAUUAUAUAAUCUUUUGUCGUCCGCAAAUAAGUCUUCAUACAAGCUCAACAUACCCUUGGCAUCUCCGACAAGAGAUUCUUUGAAAUUUCCGUUGUCCUUUGUGAAUCUCCUGAAUACAUCUAUUAAUCAAAAUGGAUCAAUUUGUUACACUUUAAAUAGUUAUAGACAACAAACACUUCUAGAAUCAAAAGCCUAGCUAGGUAAGAGUCUCAUUUACCGGAAGAUAUAUGGACCGUAUCUCCUAAAAACCCAGAAGAUGAUGGACACUGUGUACAAGUCAUUUUCACCUUCUAUCAUCUCCUCUUUCUUUUCGAAACCUUCUUUUAUAGUCUCAUCUAUCUCGUCCUCAAAGUGAUGUGCAAGGCCAAGGCUCACCAACAAAUAUAUCAUAAGAAUUCUCUUCUUUGCUGAAUCGAUCCCUUGGUAAGACAUGAGCGCCUUCUUCACUUUUGGCUUUAGUACAUCGAUUUCUUUCCUAAGCGCAUCAAUUUCCUACAAGUAAAACAUGCACGCAUGUGUUCACCUUCUCUAGCUAAUCAGUGUCCGCCAUCAGCUUAGAGCCUCUAAAUCCCUUAUAUAUUAAAAGAGAAGCAUCGUAAUAAAUGCAUUCACACUAUAAUAGACAUGUGACAGCCUCACAAUGAUUUGAUAAUAAGUAUGCUAAUGCGUUCACAUUAUCUACUUUGCGUUUUUUAAUAUAAUACUCACAUACAUGGUUUCAACAAAACUCUGCAUUUUUCGGUUGGAAUAAAAUAGAUAACGAAUCAAAAGCCAAACUAUAUAUAUAUUAUUUUUAUUGUUUACGGAUAAAGUUUAGCAAAAUAUUCAUAAAUUUUGAAUCGAUUCGUUAUCCGUUUUGAUUUGAACCAAAAAAUCUGGAUAUCCGUAACUCUUACGAAACAAAUCAAAUACUAAAAUACAAUAUCCAAAAAAGAAGCAAAUCACAAAUACCAAAUUUCUUAGGAACAUAUAUCUAAUUCGAUUUGUUAUAUGCAUAUAUAUACAUAUAUGUAAAGAAUUAUAUAUAUAUAUAUAUGUUAUAUAUAUUAUACUUUAUAUCAGUUUUACAAUAUUUUAUGAAUUAAAUUUAUUAUAUUAGGUACUAGAAUUUAAAAAAGUUAAAUAAUGUUUUAUUUUUGUAAUAAAAUGUUAUUAUUAAAAUUUUCAAUUAUUUUAAAAAUUUUAUUUUAUUUUAGAAGAAGGAGAGAAGUCGCGGAAGAGAUGAAAGCCCAAAGGGAGACACGUGUGUCGUAAGACCCGUCUCUUGUAACUCCUAAUUAAGAGACGUUUUUUCACAUUGAAGCCAAUUUCCUUUUUUUUUAAUCCUAAUAAUACUAAGAGACAGACUUAAGAAACAGCGUUGAUCAUGCUCUUAGUUUUUAUGCUCAAAAAUCUAUUUUCGUUAAUCCAAUUCAUUCACUACAUCUUCUUAUUGACGAGUGCUACUGAACACUAUCGAAUACAAUUAUAGAAAUGAUUCAAGAAACAAAAAGUCGCAUUUUCCAUUUUUUUUCUUGUUGGGUUGAAACACGAUCUUAAAAUUAUCUAGUCUACUAUAUAAACUAGUCAAGUGUUGUUGACUUCAUCUUCUAUAAAAUGGGAAACUAUACCGGCUACAAACAUGAGACCAUGCCCAAGAUCACGACAAUCUCAAAAAGAUAGAUCUGCCUGCACGAACUACCUAGUUGGCUAGUUUUCAUAUUAUCAAAGUAUUUGGAGGGUAGUUAAUUACUUGCUUCAGUGAAGACCAUAAGCCACCUAGAUCAUAAGCUCAGCUUUAGCUUCUGUUUAAACUGAAUAUCUGUAAACAACAUCAAGUGAUGGGUCAUUAGAGGAGUGAGAACUAAAGAAAGUGAUGAGGAUUUUUAAGGAGCUAGAGAAUUUUUUUUUUUUUUUUUGAAUGAAUGUUAAAUUUAUUCAUCAAAAAGUCUGUAUACAUCCAAGUACAUCCUUUAUACUCUAGGAGCUAUACUCAAAAUUUAACCAACACUUCAAAACAAAUAAAGCUAAUUACAAUCUAGUUUGGAACCAAAACUGCAUCAGCUCAUCAGAACCAAAAAGGUUACACCUUUAACCAUUUGCUCCCACACCUGCCUCGUGUAGGAACAUUCGAAAAACAAAUGGUCUCUUGACUCAGUAGCAGAUUUACAGAGUAGACAGGUUGAGAGUAUAUAAUGUGGAUAGAAUAGUAAAACAAGAUUAACAGAAUUAUAUAAUGUGGAUAGUUCAAGACUCAAGAAGUGUUGAGAAAAUCAUGUUCUUGCACAAGAAUGAUAAAACAGAAAACAUAGUAUACAAAGAAAAAGGAGACAAAUCUGAAUAGUUCAACAAAUAUACGCAACUGUUAACUUCUUUCAACUCAUGAUCUUGUAAUCUGUGUGAUAUCCUAACAUGUCAUGUACACAGCUUCCAUCAUCUCUGGGUCUUCAGGAUAUACCCUCACUACAUGUCUUCUGGUAAGGAUCAGUGUCUGGCAACUUGGCAAGGCUGGUACCAUUCGUAUAUUUUACGAUGAUUCGGCUCCUCGGUACUUAAUUCAUAUAACUGGCCUAAACUGUACCACCCUUCCGAUCUCCACGUCUACCUAGGAUAUCCACAAGGACAGCAGAAAUUAAUUAGCUAGCACUAAAUAUAGCAUUUUACUUAAAUUCAUUAAAAGAAAGAAGCCCAAAAUAUAACAACAUACACAAAAUGUUUUGUGUUUUAUUAAAAGCCAUCUGAACGAUCAAAUGGUAGACGGUGAAAACAAAGCAGAAAGCACAUGAUGUUAUUAAAGAAAAAAGUCAGGUAAAAGAUAAAACAUUUGCCAAAGUCUUCAAAGACGGAUCUGAUCCACGAACAUAGAAGUCAUGUACUCCUUAAUUUUUCCUUGGGGAUCGGUGUAACCUUCAUAUCCAUUGUAGCAGACGUGG
rnacentral:lncRNA from 1 species